rnacentral:lncRNA from 1 species
GAAACAUAUUCAAGAAACAAUCAUUGGUCUUGAUGAAAGGAAAGACUAGAUUCCUCAUUCCAGGAGGAAGAGUAAUAUUAAAAUUCCAAGAAGGCAAAGGGGCACGCUAGGAAACAGUGAACUUUGGACCCAGAUAGACAAAAAUUUGAGCCAACUUCACCUCAUGCUUGAAGUGUCACUGGCCAUGUUGUGCAACACCCCCCUAGCUGCAUCCCUUCAGGGUAUAAGAAGAUAGCAGCUGUGCCUCCACUUACCUUAGAGGAAUAAAUGCCAAAUGACUGAAUCUGCAGCUGCUCCUGUCAGACGCUCAGCCCCGUGGACAAUAAACCUCUCC